rnacentral:rRNA from 1 species
GCCUGUCUAUGCUACCCUGAACAAGCCCGAUCCCAUCUGAUCUCAGAAGCUAAGCAGGGUCGGGCCUGGUUAGUAUUUGGUUGAGAGACCACCUAGGAAGACCAGGUGUUGUAGGCG